UCCGGUUGAUCCUGCCAGAGGCCGCUGCUAUCCGGCUGGGACUAAGCCAUGCUAGUCUAGGGGCUUGUACCCCUUCGGGGGUGCAAGCACCGGCGGACGGCUCAGUAACACGUGGACAACCUGCCCUCGGGUGGGGGAUAACCCCGGGAAACUGGGGCUAAUCCCCCAUAGGUGAUGGGUGCUGGAAUGCCCCAUCUCCGAAAGCGCUCAGCGCCCGAGGAUGGGUCUGCGGCGGAUUAGGUAGUUGGUGGGGUAACGGCCCACCAAGCCUAAGAUCCGUACGGGCUGUGGGAGCAGGAGCCCGGAGAUGGACCCUGAGACAAGGGUCCAGGCCCUACGGGGCGCAGCAGGCGCGAAACCUCCGCAAUGCGGGAAACCGCGACGGGGUUAGCCGGAGUGCCCGUGCAUUGCACGGGCUGUCGGGGUGCCUAAACAGCACCCCAUAGCAAGGGCCGGGCAAGGCCGGUGGCAGCCGCCGCGGUAAGACCGGCGGCCCGAGUGGCGGCCACUCUUAUUGGGCCUAAAGCGUCCGUAGCCGGCCCAGUAAGUCCCCCGGGAAAUCUGGUCGCUUAACGAUCAGACUUCCGGGGGAUACUGCUGGGCUAGGGACCGGGAGAGGCCGAGGGUAUUCCCG
rnacentral:rRNA from 1 species